rnacentral:lncRNA from 1 species
GAACAUAUGUUUAUAGGAAGUAUAAAUCAAGGGAGUAAAUUAAGAAUGAAACAAUUCUAAAAAAUUAAAAAUGCAAUGGAUAAAAUAUACGUGGCCAUAGAUAUAGCUUGAGAUUAUCAAAUGCUUCAAAAAAUUAUAAUUAACGACUACAAGUUACAACCAACUUCAUGCAUUGUAACAAGUAGUGAACUAUUAGAUCCAGAUUGAGACCUCCCUGUUAGUCAUAUAAUUUCAUAUACGGUUUAUCCCAGCCCUUUUUUCCAUGUAGUCGCUAUAUGCUCAUAUUAAACAUAUAUGAUUGACAGCAUUUAAUUCCUUGAUUUGCAAGAACCGUAAAAUUCUCCAAUGUUUUCAUAUAAAUGAUGCAUGAAAUAUCAAUAUCAGGUAUACCUCCAAAAGCAGCACUAGCAGUAGAUAACAUUAGCAGAGGAGGAAGCUGCCAGAGAAGAAAAGGCAAAAGGAUGGAUAUGAGGAAAAUAGAAAAAGAGAAAGUAGGAAUAAUGAGUUUUAAUAGAUAGCAAAAUUCAAGAAAACAAUGGGGCUCAUACCCCAAUUAGAAAAGGAAGCCACUUUGGCCCCUUCACAUGUUUCUGGACAUAAGGGAUCCCUGAAAUGAUUUUCACCAAGAAUGAUGAACCACAAUGAGAUAAUAAUUGAAACGUGCAUGGAGAAGGUGAGGGGAAGAAUCCAUUUCCAUACCUGUGUUGAAAGCAUGCACUGCACUUAGCAUCCCACCAAGUCCAGAGCCAACCUAUUUAAGCAAUCCAAAUAAUAUUAAAAAAUGUUGGGCAAAAAUAACAUGAAAAUGACCAUGACCGUAACCCAUGUACAAAUUGUCGACUACAAUUCCAAACUCUGAAAGAAAAAGUUAAACAAUAGGUUUUACAGAGAGUACAAACAUGAUAACGACAUCAACAAUGUUUGAUAUAGAUGCUAUUGAGGCAGAUAAUGGAUAGCCAAAUUAUUCAUCAUUGUAUGUUUUUGCAUUUGUUAUUUUGUUAGAAAUUAUUUUCUUUUAGGUGUAAUUGUUAGACGAUGAAGGUUAAGUAUUCUGUUGAGAAGGUGUCCAUCACACCCAUUAGGUCAUUAAUGUACUAUUUAAUGGACUCAAUGCCACUCAAUAAGAUGGACCUCAUUUAUACAGUUUCAGAUUUCAUUCUACAGUGUUAUCUCUUAUCCACGUGAGAAACAACUCCAACAGAGGUUCAAAAUCAAAAGUUUUAUAUUCAUUAAAAAUCGAAAACAUAUACGAAUCUAGUAAUUUAAUGCCAAAUAUAGCAGUAGAAAAAAUAGUAAAAAGAUACUCGUACCACAGCAGUGGCAUCGUGCAGAACUGGAGUGAUUUCCCAUUCCGAGUUUUCCUAUUCCAAAACAGUUGAACGUAUGUUUUCAAUACAGGGAAAGAAAAUUAAGGUAGUCCAAAUGCUCACGGAGACAUAUGAUCGAACAGAUCAUUGGCAAAGUUGAAAAUUUGCAUUAUCUUACAAAUAUAUACGUACAGAACUAGGGUUUAAAAGAGAGAGGCAGCGGGGGCAGCGGGCCGAUCCGAGGCCGGGUUUAAUGGUGGGAUCAUGGUGGAGAUUUCCUGUUCUCAGCUUCUCCUCGUACACUUCUCGAGUCCCCAUCUGUUUCGAUUUUGGGUCGGCGUAGACUCUCAAUUAUAAAACCGAUUCCUGUACUUCUCAACUAGUUUUAUGCUAUUCAAUUUCAGUCCUUGAGCUUUCUUAAACGUUUCAAUUUUGUCCACAUGAUCUCAAUUCACCUUUCAUUUGCACAUUUUGAAAAUGUAUAAGUAUUACAUCACACAUUUUUAUCUAUUUAUAAUUUAUAAAUACUUUUCAAACAUUCUUCUUAAUUUGGCAUUUCAUGCUUUUAAGAGAAUCAGCUUUGGUUAGGCCAAAAAAACAAUCAACUAUGACAAAAAAAGGUAAAGUGCUUUUGUUUCAAAUUAUGUAUUAAAAUUAGAAUGUUUGCGUUAGAUAAUAAAAUGUGUUUAUAAUAGUAUGUCAUAAAACCUAAUAUAUAUAAGUCUCCUUUUGAUUUGGAUAAAGUAGUGAACUAUUAGAUCCAGAUUGAGACCUCCCUGUUAGUCACAUAAUUUCAUAUACGGUUUAUCCCAGCCCUUUUUUCCAUGUAGUCGCUAUAUGCUCAUAUUAAACAUAUAUGAUUGACAGCAUUUAAUUCCUUGAUUUGCAAGAACCGUAAAAUUCUCCAAUGUUUUCAUAUAAAUGAUGCAUGAAAUAUCAAUAUCAGGUAUAC